rnacentral:rRNA from 1 species
AACGAACGCUGGCGGCAGGCCUAACACAUGCAAGUCGAGCGAGGACUUCGGUUCUAGCGGCGGACGGGUGAGUAACGCGUGGGAAUGUGCCCUUCUCUACGGAAUAGCCCUGGGAAACUGGGAGUAAUACCGUAUACGCCCUUUUGGGGAAAGAUUUAUCGGAGAAGGAUCAGCCCGCGUUGGAUUAGGUAGUUGGUGGGGUAAUGGCCUACCAAGCCGACGAUCCAUAGCUGGUUUGAGAGGAUGAUCAGCCACACUGGGACUGAGACACGGCCCAGACUCCUACGGGAGGCAGCAGUGGGGAAUCUUAGACAAUGGGGGCAACCCUGAUCUAGCCAUGCCGCGUGAGUGAUGAAGGCCUUAGGGUUGUAAAGCUCUUUCAGCUGGGAAGAUAAUGACGGUACCAGCAGAAGAAGCCCCGGCUAAUUCCGUG